UUGGGUCCAAUUUAGUCCUGCUGUAAACUAACGCAACAGUGUCUGAAGGGGUCUGACCUACAUCCUCGGAGUACCUAUUAGGCUCCAUUUACUCAGCAUACCUACUGCUGUGAUAACUGAGCACCUGUC
rnacentral:lncRNA from 1 species